ensembl:snoRNA
UACCCUGGCAAUGGGCAAAGAGAUACCUUGUUGGUGGUAUUGUUCUUAUAUCAGUCAAGGGAAGAGCAGAUGGCAGUCCUUUGUUCAUCCUAGUUUGAUGCCUGGCAUAAUGGACAAAGCUGCCUUAUAACUAGGACUCAUAA